CCCUUGGCUACCUUGUUACGACUUGAGUCUGAGCCAGGAUCAAACUCUAAGGGCGAAUUCUGCAGAUAUCCAUCACACUGGCGGCCGCUCGAGCAUGCAUCUAGAGGGCCCAAUUCGCCCUAUAGUGAGUCGUAUUACAAUUCACUGGCCGUCGUUUUACAACGUCGUGACUGGGAAAACCCUGGCGUUACCCAACUUAAUCGCCUUGCAGCACAUCCCCCUUUCGCCAGCUGGCGUAAUAGCGAAGAGGCCCGCACCGAUCGCCCUUCCCAACAGUUGCGCAGCCUGAAUGGCGAAUGGACGCGCCCUGUAGCGGCGCAUUAAGCGCGGCGGGUGUGGUGGUUACGCGCAGCGUGACCGCUAC
rnacentral:rRNA from 1 species